rnacentral:rRNA from 1 species
CUGGCUCAGAUUGAACGCUGGCGGCAUGCCUUACACAUGCAAGUCGAACGGCAGCACGGGUGCUUGCACCUGGUGGCGAGUGGCGAACGGGUGAGUAAUACAUCGGAACAUGUCCUGUAGUGGGGGAUAGCCCGGCGAAAGCCGGAUUAAUACCGCAUACGAUCUACGGAUGAAAGCGGGGGACCUUCGGGCCUCGCGCUAUAGGGUUGGCCGAUGGCUGAUUAGCUAGUUGGUGGGGUAAAGGCCUACCAAGGCGACGAUCAGUAGCUGGUCUGAGAGGACGACCAGCCACACUGGGACUGAGACACGGCCCAGACUCCUACGGGAGGCAGCAGUGGGGAAUUUUGGACAAUGGGCGAAAGCCUGAUCCAGCAAUGCCGCGUGUGUGAAGAAGGCCUUCGGGUUGUAAAGCACUUUUGUCCGGAAAGAAAUCCUUGAUUCUAAUACAGUCGGGGGAUGACGGUACCGGAAGAAUAAGCACCGGCUAACUACGUGCCAGCAGCCGCGGUAAUACGUAGGGUGCAAGCGUUAAUCGGAAUUACUGGGCGUAAAGCGUGCGCAGGCGGUUUGCUAAGACCGAUGUGAAAUCCCCGGGCUCAACCUGGGAACUGCAUUGGUGACUGGCAAGCUAGAGUAUGGCAGAGGGGGGUAGAAUUCCACGUGUAGCAGUG